GAGUUUGAUCCUGGCUCAGAACGAACGCUGGCGGCGUGCUUAACACAUGCAAGUCGAACGUGAUUCGGAGCUUGCUCCGAUGAAAGUGGCGCACGGGUGAGUAACGCGUGGAUAACCUGCCCUGGUAUCUGGGAUAACAUCUCGAAAGGGGUGCUAAUACCGGAUAAGCCCACGGACUCCUCGGAGUCUGCGGGAAAAGGUGGCCUCUAUUUAUAAGCUACCGUAUCAGGGUGGGUCCGCGUACCAUUAGCUAGUUGGUGGGGUAAUGGCCUACCAAGGCGACGAUGGUUAGCUGGUCUGAGAGGAUGAUCAGCCACACUGGAACUGAGACACGGUCCAGACUCCUACGGGAGGCAGCAGUGGGGAAUUUUGCGCAAUGGGGGAAACCCUGACGCAGCAACGCCGCGUGAGUGAUGAAGGCUUUCGGGUCGUAAAGCUCUGUCAGAGGGGAAGAAAUGAGAUUGGCUAAUAUCCAAUUUUCUUGACGGUACCCUCAAAGGAAGCACCGGCUAACUCCGUGCCAGCAGCCGCGGUAAUACAAGGGCGMCYYCWR
rnacentral:rRNA from 1 species